AUUGAACGCUGGCGGCAUGCCUUACACAUGCAAGUCGAACGGUAACAGGUCUUCGGAUGCUGACGAGUGGCGAACGGGUGAGUAAUACAUCGGAACGUGCCUAGUAGUGAGGGAUAACUACUCGAAAGAGUAGCUAAUACCGCAUGAGAUCUACGGAUGAAAGCAGGGGAACUUCGGGCCUUGUGCUACUAGAGCGGCCGAUGGCAGAUUAGGUAGUUGGUGGGAUAAAAGCUUACCAAGCCGACGAUCUGUAGCUGGUCUGAGAGGACGACCAGCCACACUGGGACUGAGACACGGCCCAGACUCCUACGGGAGGCAGCAGUGGGGAAUUUUGGACAAUGGGCGAAAGCCUGAUCCAGCAAUGCCGCGUGCAGGAUGAAGGCCUUCGGGUUGUAAACUGCUUUUGUACGGAACGAAAAAGCUCCUUCUAAUACAGGGGGCCCAUGACGGUACCGUAAGAAUAAGCACCGGCUAACUACGUGCCAGCCGCCGCGGUAACAC
rnacentral:rRNA from 1 species